AGUCCAGCUGGCUUCACCUCUCAUUGAGUUUGCAGGAUGGCAGGCUUAUGGGUGUCCUACGAUCUGCCAUUUGUUUGGAAGCUGGAGAACCAAGAAAGCUGGUAGUCUUGCUCCAGUCCAAGCUCAAAGACCUGAAAACAGGGGAGCCAACAGUGUAAACCCCAGUGUGAAGUCCAAAGGCUUGAGAACCAGGAGGGCCAAUGGUGUAAGUUGCGAGUCUGAGUCUGAAGGCUGGAGAACCAGAAGCACCCGUAUCUGAGGUGGGGAGAAGACCGAUGUUCCAUUUCAAGUACCUUUUGUGGUUUCCCUACAUCCUGUUCACAAUUCUGUGAGGAGCCCCUUGAUAUAAACUGCGCUUGAAUCAUCCCAGUUGACGUGUGUGUCAACUGUUUCCUGCUGGGACUCUUGAUAUUCCAACUUCCUGAACAUGCUACUCCCAGGUCCAGCGCACAGUACCGCAGAGCAGCUGUCUUUUCUCACUCAAACUGGGAGCUCCUAUGAUCUUAUUUCCCUCAGUCUCCAGGGGAUCAUGGGCCCGUGACAUGGCAGAAAUCAGAGAAAUACUUGGAGCACAUGAUGUACUCAGGGACUCUGGAGGGAGCUCUGAACCUGCAGUAAACGUUGACACACACUGACAUUUUCUGGGCAGCCCUCACUCAGAGACCCUGGGAUGCCUGAGGAACAAGUUUGGCCGUGGGGCUCCAGGCCACUGAAAGGCAUCAAGUCCAACCUUCUGGCUGAAGGAAUCAUGAUUUGGAAAAAGGAACAUC
rnacentral:lncRNA from 1 species